rnacentral:rRNA from 1 species
AUGCACAUGCUGUGAGCUCGAUGAGUAGGGCGGGACACGUGGUAUCCUGUCUGAAUAUGGGGGGACCAUCCUCCAAGGCUAAAUACUCCUGACUGACCGAUAGUGAACCAGUACCGUGAGGGAAAGGCGAAAAGAACCCCGGCGAGGGGAGUGAAAAAGAACCUGAAACCGUGUACGUACAAGCAGUGGGAGCACGCUUAGGCGUGUGACUGCGUACCUUUUGUAUAAUGGGUCAGCGACUUAUAUUCUGUAGCAAGGUUAACCGAAUAGGGGAGCCGAAGGGAAACCGAGUCUUAACUGGGCGUUAAGUUGCAGGGUAUAGACCCGAAACCCGGUGAUCUAGCCAUGGGCAGGUUGAAGGUUGGGUAACACUAACUGGAGGACCGAACCGACUAAUGUUGAAAAAUUAGCGGAUGACUUGUGGCUGGGGGUGAAAGGCCAAUCAAACCGGGAGAUAGCUGGUUCUCCCCGAAAGCUAUUUAGGUAGCGCCUCGUGAAUUCAUCUCCGGGGGUAGAGCACUGUUUCGGCAAGGGGGUCAUCCCGACUUACCAACCCGAUGCAAACUGCGAAUACCGGAGAAUGUUAUCACGGGAGACACACGGCGGGUGCUAACGUCCGUCGUGAAGAGGGAAACAACCCAGACCGCCAGCUAAGGUCCCAAAGUCAUGGUUAAGUGGGAAACGAUGUGGGAAGGCCCAGACAGCCAGGAUGUUGGCUUAGAAGCAGCCAUCAUUUAAAGAAAGCGUAAUAGCUCACUGGUCGAGUCGGCCUGCGCGGAAGAUGUAACGGGGCUAAACCAUGCACCGAAGCUGCGGCAGCGACGCUGAUGCGUUGUUGGGUAGGGGAGCGUUCUGUAAGCCUGCGAAGGUGUGCUGUGAGGCAUGCUGGAGGUAUCAGAAGUGCGAAUGCUGAC